UAGAGGAGCAUUAUCUGGACC
rnacentral:misc_RNA from 1 species